UUUGUAGUAGAAGUAUGUUCCAUGCAAUCUUUGGAACAUACUUAUACUAUGA
rfam:Macaca mulatta chromosome X, whole genome shotgun sequence.